UUAAUAGGAGCGAGAAGAACUGGACGGCUUAGAGGAGGCAAGAAAAAAAACGAUAUAAAAAUUAAUGAAUUAUAAUUUUUUUUUGAGAUUUCGAAUAUAUUCAUAAGAUCAAUUAAUUAAAAUUUAAUGAAGAACUCUUCCGCUUUUUCUAACAUUUUAUUAAAAAAAGGUGUAAAUGAAUAUUUGUCAAAU
rnacentral:ribozyme from 11 species